rnacentral:rRNA from 1 species
AGAUUGAACGCUGGCGGCAGGCCUAACACAUGCAAGUCGAGCGGUAGAGAGGUGCUUGCACCUCUUGAGAGCGGCGGACGGGUGAGUAAUGCCUAGGAAUCUGCCUAGUGGUGGGGGAUAACGUUCGGAAACGGACGCUAAUACCGCAUACGUCCUACGGGAGAAAGCGGGGGACCUUCGGGCCUCGCGCCAUUAGAUGAGCCUAGGUCGGAUUAGCUAGUUGGUGAGGUAAUGGCUCACCAAGGCGACGAUCCGUAACUGGUCUGAGAGGAUGAUCAGUCACACUGGAACUGAGACACGGUCCAGACUCCUACGGGAGGCAGCGAGGUGGGGAAUAGUUGGACAAGUGGGACGAAAGCCUGAUCCAGGCCAUCGCCGCGUGUGGUAGAAAGAAGGUCUUCGGAUUAGUAAAGCAAGUUUUAAGUGGGAGGUAAGGUUGUUAAACUUAAGUUACGUUGACUAA